rnacentral:pre_miRNA from 1 species
UCUUGGUUGGUUCUCCCUUGGAGUUCCCUGCAAACACUUCACCAGCUAGGCCAUAGUGCCGGCCCUUGCACAAUGUUGUAUCUGAUCACCUAGCUAGUGUGAAGUGUUUGGAGGAACUCUAGGUGUUAUCCAGCAAUG